ACUAAAAAGGAAAGGAAACAAAGCAAGCAGACGACAAGAUGGCAGAGCUUCAAGCUAAAGGUCAAAAGGGUUGAAAGCUGAGAAAAGAAAGAACAAAAGGACAAGGCAUAGAAAUGGUUUUCUCGUUUUGGUGAUGGAGAUUUGUUCGAGGAGGACAAAGGAACUAAGGUCAACACAAGUGAGGCUGGAGAUCAAGGGAUGAAAACGACCCAAGCAUGUUAAGAUUUUCGAGGAUCCAAAAUAUUUCUGAAGUCCCCUUCGGCUAUAAAAGGAGAGAACCCAAGAGGAAAAGGGGGGACUUUUGGCUGGCUCGAGCAAGCAAGCCCGAGAGACUGAGAGAGUUGAACUUAAAAAAGAAGAAAGAAGAAAAUGUUGAACCCAAGAAUGUGAGAGCUGAAGAUAUGAAGUCGAAAGGGAGAGAAUGAGAAAAAUCUGAGAGUUACGAGGCAAAAAAUUUUCCGUUUCCAAUGUUACUUGAAUUUAUAUCGAGCACAUUAUUCAUGAGUCGUACUUAUAUCAUGAUGAGGAGUCAAUGAAAGAGGGGAAUACUCAUCUGAACUUUCCAGUAUGAGUCUUUAUCGCUCUUGGUUUCCUUUGAUGGAUUAACGAAUUAAAAUGUGAGUUGCUUGCUGAAUGAUAUUGAUGGGUACGUCUUCUUUUAUGCUCCUUUUGGUUGAGAAUGAACGGUGGAUAUGAUUAGUACACUAAUCGAUGGGCGUAAAGCCUAGAUGAAAUGCAGCUUUUGCAUCUGUUUUUAAUGUAUAAUGGUGACUAUGAUAUGAAUUUUUCCACAUGAAAGCAUGUUUUGCGAUACACAAUAUACUGAAAUAGAUAUAUUUAGCAUGUGUAAUCCAAUAAUUCUGUAAAAGCUAAAAAGGGUGAUGAAAUCUGUAGGUUAGGUCUUUUUUCAUGGCUAUUAGUUUACAUUUAGUGUUAAAAUAUGAAGAGCCCAUGUUGAGAAGCCCACAAGGAAGAGCCCAAAGUCAACAACUUGAAGAGAAAAUUGGAGCACAACAAGCUGAAGAGGAAAGCCCAAACCAAAGCAAAUGUAAUCGAGCCUACAGAGGAAUGAUAAUAUAUGUGAUCCACCCUAAAAAGGAAUAUAAAUAUAUGUGAUCCACCCUAAAAAAUAAUAUAAAUAUAUGUGAUCCGGCCUAAAGAAUAAAGCCCAUGUGGAAAUUUUUCUAAGAGAAGCCCACUUAAAGAUAUGUUUGGGAGACGAUAUUAUCGUGUAAUUAUGAUGUAAGAAUAUCAUAUUAUUUAAGAAAACUCUAGGUAUAAACAUCUAAUUUAUACACAUUGAGAAGUAUCGAGAAAAAAUUAAAUUCUCUAUUCGUAAAAGUUCUACCAGAGCUUUUCUUUAGCCGUUCACUCUUAUUACUUUUUUUAUUGGAUUUUUUUCUGCUUCUUCUGUGUUUUUCUUGCAGAUCCAUCAAUUGCUAUAUGAAGAUUUCUUUUACAAACAAAUUUUGAUAUAGUAUCAAAGCAUAUCGACAGAUAAAUCUCGACUCAAAUGGGAGGUUCAACCAUUCAUCAAGAAAUCUCUCUAAUAAGUGGUAAUAUUCUCAAUCACAUAAACCUUAAUAUUCAAUAUUAUAUAGGCAAUAAUGAUAGUUCGAGUGCAUUACUUAUAGCACAACCUCUAGAUGCAAUAAACUAUUAUUCAUGGGUU
rnacentral:lncRNA from 1 species